UUGGAGGGCAAGUCUGGUGCCAGCAGCCGCGGUAAUUCCAGCUCCAGUAGCGUAUAUUAAAGUUGCUGUAGUUAAAAAGCUCGUAGUUGAAUUUCGGGACCAGUGGGUUGGUCGUACCUCUGGUACGUACUGGCUUUACCGGUUCCUCCCUUCUGAAGAACCACGAUGUCAUUAAUUUGGUGUUGUGGGGAAUCAGGACUGUUACUGUGAAAAAAUUAGAGUGUUUAAAGCAGGC
rnacentral:rRNA from 1 species